GACGAACGCUGGCGGCGUGCUUAACACAUGCAAGUCGAACGGAAAGGCCCUGCUUUUGUGGGGUGCUCGAGUGGCGAACGGGUGAGUAACAAGUGAGUAACCUGCCCUUGACUUUGGGAUAACUUCAGGAAACUGGGGCUAAUACCGGAUACGAGCUCCUGCUGCAUGGUGGGGGUUGGAACGUUUCGGCGGUUGGGGAUGGACUCGCGGUUUAUUAGCUUGUUGGUGGGGUAGUGGCUUACCAAGGCUUUGACGGGUAGCCGGCCUGAGAGGUGGACCGGCCACAUUGGGCCUGAGAGACGGCCCAGACUCCAACGGGAGGCAGCAGGGGGAAAUAUUGCACAAUGGGCGGAAGCCUGUGGCAGAAACCCCGCGUGCGGAAUGACGGCCUACGGGUGGUAAACCGCUUUAGCCUGUGACGAAGCGUUAGUGACGGUAAUGGGUAAAGAAGCACCGGCUAACUACGUG
rnacentral:rRNA from 1 species